GACGAGGGAUCCUAGCGUUGUUCGGAAUCAUUGGGCGUAAAGCGCAUGUAGGCUGCCAUUCAAGUCAGUUGUGAAAGCCCCGGGCUCAACCCGGGAAGUGCUUCUGAUACUGUUUGGCUUGAGUACUAGAGAGGAUAGUAGAAUUCCAGGUGUAGUGGUGAAAUACGUAGAUAUCUGGAGGAAUACCGGUGGCGAAGGCGGCUAUCUGGCUAUGUACUGACGCUGAGAUGCGAAAGCGUGGGGAGCAAACAGG
rnacentral:rRNA from 2 species